rnacentral:rRNA from 1 species
GAUUAAGCCAUGCAUGUCAGUGAAGCCUUUACGGUGGAACGGCGAACGGCUCAGUAAUGUUGCGGUAAUUUGGUCUCUGUGUGUAAACUAACCACGGUAACCUGUGGCUAAAAGCGGAGAAUAAGGCGCAACCCUAUCAGCUUGUUGGUAGUGUAAAGGACUACCAAGGCUAUGACGGGUAACGGGAAAUCAGGGUUUGAUUCCGGAGAGGGAGCCUGAGAGAUGGCUCCCACGUCCAAGGACGGCAGCAGGCGCGAAACUUGUCCACUCCUUACUGGGGAGACAGUCAUGAGACGUGAGUAUAAGACCUGAGUGUAAAGACCUUAGGGUGAAGCAAUUGGAGGGCAAGCUUUGGUGCCAGCAGCCGCGGUAACUCCAACUCCAAGAGUGUCUAUGGUGGAUGCUGA